UGUUUUGUUUUGUUUUUUUGGUUAAAAAUUGGCAGUUGGGUAAUAGGAGGAAACAUAAAAUCAUAAAGGUAAAAUUAAGCAGGAGCAGAAGGGGACAAGAGACAAAUCUGCCACGAUGUGCAGGCCACAACAACAUAUGUGAAUUGGAUCUUCACCUGGAGUUCCUGGGAUUCGUGUCAACUUGAUCAAAUUUUCAGCUUUUCGAACCAUCACUUUGAUUCGCUGAGCCAGGGUCUGGUACUGCAGCAAGAUCAACAGGUGGCCCAAAGUCCGUGGCACGCAGACUGAGCUUUUCCUGCAUCCCAGAGUCUCCUGAGAAUUGAAACUCUGAGGACAAGUAAUAGGGAAGAUCAAGUUAAAAAAAUAAAAAUGUCAUGACUCUCCUGG